rnacentral:rRNA from 1 species
UACGUAGGGGGCUAGCGUUGUCCGGAAUCAUUGGGCGUAAAGCGCGUGUAGGCGGUCCGGUAAGUCCGCUGUGAAAGUCGGGGGCUCAACCCUCGGAUGGCCGGUGGAUACUGUCGGGCUUGAGUACGGAAGAGGCGAGUGGAAUUCCUGGUGUAGCGGUGAAAUGCGCAGAUAUCAGGAGGAACACCAAGUUGCGGAAGGCAGCUCGCUGGGACGUU